UACGAAGGGGGCUAGCGUUGCUCGGAAUUACUGGGCGUAAAGGGCGCGUAGGCGGGUCGUCAAGUUGGGGGUGAAAGCCCAGGGCUCAACCUUGGAAUUGCCUUCAAAACUGACGAUCUAGAGUAUGGAAGAGGUAAGUGGAACUCCGAGUGUAGAGGUGAAAUUCGUAGAUAUUCGGAAGAACACCAGUGGCGAAGGCGACUUACUGGUCCAUGACUGACGCUGAGGCUCGAAAGCGUGGGGAGCAAACAGG
rnacentral:rRNA from 1 species